GAAAUGCGAUAAGUAAUGUGAAUUGCAGAAUUCAGUGAAUCAUCGAAUCUUUGAACGCACCUUGCGCUCCUUGGUAUUCCUUGGAGCAUGCCUGUUUGAGUAUCAUGAAAUCUUCAAAGUAAAUCUUUUGUUAACUCAAUUGGUUUCUACUUUGGUAUUGGAGGUCUUUGCAGCUUCACACCUGCUCCUCUUUGUUCAUUAGCUGGAUCUCAGUGUUAUGCUUGGUUCCACUCGGCGUGAUAAGUUAUCUAUCGCUGAGGACACUGUAAAAGGUGGCCAAGGUAAAUGCAGAUGAACCGCUUCUCAUAGUCCAUUGACUUGGACAAUACUUUUAUCAUCUGAUCUCAAAUCAGGUAGGACUACCCGCUGAACUUAAGC
rnacentral:misc_RNA from 1 species